rnacentral:rRNA from 1 species
GGUAACGUGGGGAGGAGCUUGCUCCACCCCGACGACGAGUGGCGAACGGGUGAGUAAUACAUCGGAACGUGUCCGCUCGUGGGGGACAACCAGCCGAAAGGUUGGCUAAUACCGCAUGAGUUCUACGGAAGAAAGAGGGGGACCCGCAAGGGCCUCUCGCGAGCGGAGCGGCCGAUGACUGAUUAGCCUGUUGGUGAGGUAACGGCUCACCAAAGCAACGAUCAGUAGCUGGUCUGAGAGGACGACCAGCCACACUGGGACUGAGACACGGCCCAGACUCCUACGGGAGGCAGCAGUGGGGAAUUUUGGACAAUGGGCGCAAGCCUGAUCCAGCUAUUCCGCGUGUGGGAUGAAGGCCCUCGGGUUGUAAACCACUUUUGUAGAGAACGAAAAGACAUCUUCGAAUAAAGGAUGUUGCUGACGGUACUCUAAGAAUAAGCACCGGCUAACU